rnacentral:lncRNA from 1 species
GUAAUCAGGCCGGAAAUAAAUAAUCUUUGUCCAGCUUUGAGUGCAUCGCUAAUGGGUGAGGAAUACUGUAGUUUUCCGGGAUUUGCAAAGGAAAAGGAGUAAUAAUCUCAAAUGCUCCAAAUGAAGUGAACAAACAAACACAACUCAUUCCAGAUAUUUAACAAGGACGAACAAGGACAGCAAACUUGAAAAGCCAAAGCAACAUAGCAGUCACAAUUUCUGCAGAUAAAAAAGACAGAAUUAGUUGAAAUCUAUAUGUUGAAAAAAAAUUGAAAUAUAAUAUUGACCAAAAAAAAAAAAAAAGCUCUACAUGGUAUGGGUUUGGUGCCUGAUUUCAUGACUUUACACUGAAAUCAAAGCUGUUGCAGCAGCCUCGCUUUAGAACAGUGACUCAAGCUCCUAACAUGCUCCAGAAGGAAACAGGGCUGGACAAUUCGGACCAGGUUUUGUUAUUGCAGUUACCCAAAGACUGCAACUGGUUCACUGGGGCAGAAGACUCUUUCUCUCUUCGGCAAAACUCAUAAAGAGAGCUUGGUUUUUGAAAAGCAGCAAAUCAGAUGUCGAGAAACUGCAAUUCCUAUUAAGAACACUUGACUGUUUACUCAGCAAGAGAACUUCAGGCUCAGGCUGCAUCAAUCUAAAUGCGUUUCAGGACGUCAGUCUUUUGAAAAGUGCAGACUGAAGAAGAGCUGAUGCCAAAAAGAAGGGAUCCUGAAAAAAAGUGAUGUCAGAAAGAAGGGGACUGGGAAAGAAAAAGGUAAAGAUCCUGGCUAGAGGAAAGAUCCUGAAAGUGGGGGAAGAUCCUGAAGAUCGGAGAGCUGUGUGGAGAAGAAUGCUGGGGGAUGUCCAGGGACCUUGGCCAGUUAAUGUCCAAGACUGGCAACUGAAUACAAAAACAGGUGCAGCAAAGGAGUGUGUGGCCAGUGGAAAAUUAUUCCCAUCUUUUUCUGUCUGUGAGAAGGCUACUUAA